CGUGUAGGCGGUCCGCUAAGUCUGAUGUGAAAGCCCGGGGCUCACCCCCGGAAGGGCAUUGGAAACUGGCGGACUCGAGUCCCGGAGAGGAGGGUGGAAUUCCUGGUGUAGCGGUGAAAUGCGUAGAUAUCAGGAGGAACACCGGUGGCGAAGGCGGCCCUCUGGACGGUGACUGACGCUGAGACGCGAAAGCGUGGGGAGAAC
rnacentral:rRNA from 1 species